rnacentral:lncRNA from 1 species
AUCCUGGGAAGAAUUUCAGUGUGUAACUUCACAACUUCCCAGAUACACAGGCUUUUUUCUGGCUGUGCUGAGAUUUCUGAGCUCUUUUUGGUGGCUCCUUUGCUCCUAAAGGCAUAUCAGUUGGCAUCCAGCCUCAGGGCGGGGCUCUGAGAAGGCCACCUUAUUGUUCCCAACAUUCCUCUUUUCCCUGUGCCAUGCUAAUGGUUUUCUGGCUGGUUCUUUGGGAAAUAAUUAAGUAAACGCAAAGGAGAGCUCAGCAGCUAUAAGGGCAUGGCGAAAUAGGGGAAGAAGAAAAAUCCAUUCCUACAAUGGAAAUUUAGUGCACCACAAGGACAGACACCCUAGAACUCAGGAGAGAGCACUGCUGACCUCCCAGAAACCAAUUAUGCAUCAGAGCAGUGCAGAGUGCUACAUGGAAACUUAACCUUCAAGGCGCUAUAACA